rnacentral:rRNA from 1 species
GACGAACGCUGGCGGCGUGCUUAACACAUGCAAGUCGAACGGAAAGGCCCUGCUUUUGUGGGGUGCUCGAGUGGCGAACGGGUGAGUAACACGUGAGUAACCUGCCCUUGACUUUGGGAAAACUUCAGGAAACUGGGGCUAAUACCGGAUAGGAGCUCCUGCUGCAUGGUGGGGGUUGGAAAGUUUCGGCGGUUGGGGAUGGACUCGCGGCUUAUCAGCUUGUUGGUGGGGUAGUGGCUUACCAAGGCUUUGACGGGUAGCCGGCCUGAGAGGGUGACCGGCCACAUUGGGACUGAGAUACGGCCCAGACUCCUACGGGAGGCAGCAGUGGGGAAUAUUGAACAAUGGUCGGAAGCCUGAUGCAGCAACGCGGCGUGCGGGAUGACGGCCUUCGGGUUGUAAACCGCUUUCGCCUGUGACGAAGCGUGAGUGACGGUAAUGGGUAAAGAAGCACCGGCUAACUACGUG